rnacentral:rRNA from 1 species
UAGGGAAUCUUCGGCAAUGGGGGCAACCCUGACCGAGCAACGCCGCGUGAGAGAAGAAGGUUUUCGGUUCGUUAAGCUCUGUUGUAAGAGAAGAACGCGUGUGAGAGUGGAAAGUUCAUACAGUGACGGUAACUUACCAGAAAGGGACGGCUAACUACGUGCCAGCAGCCGCGGUAAUACGUAGGUCCCGAGCGUUGUCCGGAUUUAUUGGGCGUAAAGCGAGCGCAGGCGGUUUAAUAAGUCUGAAGUUAAAGGCAGUGGCUUAACAAAUGUUCGCUUUGGAAGCUGUUAAACUUGAGUGCAGAAGGAGAGGGUGGAAUUCCAUGUGUAGCGGUGAAAUGCGUAGAUGUAUGUAGGAGCACCGGUGGCGGAAGCGGCUCUCUGGUCUGUAGCUGACGCUGAGGCUCGAAGGCAUAGGGAGCAAACAGG